AACAGGAUUAGAUACCCUGGUAGUCCACGCCCUAAACGAUGUCUACUAGUUGUCGGGUCUUAAUUGACUUGGUAACGCAGCUAACGCGUGAAGUAGACCGCCUGGGGAGUACGGUCGCAAGAUUAAAACUCAAAGGAAUUGACGGGGACCCGCACAAGCGGUGGAUGAUGUGGAUUAAUUCGAUGCAACGCGAAAAACCUUACCUACCCUUGACAUGGCUGGAAUCCUCGAGAGAUUGAGGAGUGCUCGAAAGAGAACCAGUACACAGGUGCUGCAUGGCUGUCGUCAGCUCGUGUCGUGAGAUGUUGGGUUAAGUCCCGCAACGAGCGCAACCCUUGUCAUUAGUUGCUACGAAAGAGCACUCUAAUGAGACUGCCGGUGACAAACCGGAGGAAGGUGGGGAUGACGUCAAGUCCUCAUGGCCCUUAUGGGUAGGGCUUCACACGUCAUACAAUGGUACAUACAGAGCGCCGCCAACCCGCGAGGGGGAGCUAAUCGCAGAAAGUGUAUCGUAGUCCGGAUUGUAGUCUGCAACUCGACUGCAUGAAGUGGAAUCGC
rnacentral:rRNA from 1 species